rnacentral:rRNA from 1 species
CGGGAAUGCUGCUGAGAGGUGGGAGUGCUCGAAAGAGAACCGGCGCACAGGUGCUGCAUGGCUGUCGUCAGCACGUGUCGUGAGAUGUUGGGUUAAGUCCCGCAACGAGCGCAACCCUUGUCCUUAGUUGCUACGCAAGAGCACUCUAAGGAGACUGCCGGUGACAAACCGGAGGAAGGUGGGGAUGACGUCAAGUCCUCAUGGCCCUUAUGGGUAGGGCUUCACACGUCAUACAAUGGUCGGAACAGAGGGUUGCCAACCCGCGAGGGGGAGCUAAUCCCAGAAAACCGAUCGUAGUCCGGAUUGCACUCUGCAACUCGAGUGCAUGAAGCUGGAAUCGCUAGUAAUCGCGGAUCAGCAUGCCGCGGUGAAUACGUUCCCGGGUCUUGUACACACCG